rnacentral:rRNA from 1 species
UACAGAGGUGGCAAGCGUUGUUCGGAAUUACUGGGCGUAAAGGGCGCGUAGGCGGGAUGGCAAGUCAGUCGUGAAAUCUCUCGGCUCAACCGAGAAACGUCGGCUGAUACUGCCGUUCUUGAGGGAUGCAGAGGAGACUGGAAUUCCCGGUGUAGCGGUGAAAUGUGUAGAGAUCGGGAGGAACACCGGUGGCGAAGGCGGGUCUCUGGGCAUCUCCUGACGCUGAGGCGCGAAAGCGUGGGGAGCAAACGGGG